UGGACCUGAGCGGGAUCGAUGACAGAGAGAUAGAGCUGUAUCUCCUGAGCGACAGAGAAAUCCAAAUCAAGACGGCGCUCUGGAUGGCAGAAAACUCCGACUACCUCAAAGAGCAGAAAGAAAAGGAAGCAAAGAUAGCGAAGGAGAAGGAGCUCGGGAUCUACAAAGAAAAGAAG